GACGAACGCUGGCGGCGUGCCUAAUACAUGCAAGUCGAGCGGAAGUUGGAGAGCUUGCUCUUCAACUUUAGCGGCGGACGGGUGAGUAACACGUGGGCAACCUGCCCUGCAGAUCGGGAUAACUCCGGGAAACCGGUGCUAAUACCGAAUAGUUUUCGCCACCUCCUGGUGGCGUACGGAAAGACGGUUUCGGCUGUCACUGCAGGAUGGGCCCGCGGCGCAUUAGCUAGUUGGUGGGGUAACGGCCCACCAAGGCAACGAUGCGUAGCCGACCUGGGGGGUGGAUCGGCCACACGGGGACUGAGACACGGCCCAGACUCCUACGGGAGGAAGCAGUAGGGAAUCUUCCGCAAUGGACGAAAGUCUGAUGGAGCAACGCCGCGUGAGUGACGAAGGUUUUCGGAUCGUAAAACUCUGUUGUGAGGGAAGAACAAGUACCAACUAACUACUGGUACCUUGACGGUACCUCACCAGAAAGCCACGGCUAACUACGUGCCAGCCGCCGCGGUAACAC
rnacentral:rRNA from 1 species